CCAGCUGGGGCCUUCCUGCAGACUGCUGACCUGAGGCUCCUGUCCUCAGCCCCAAAAUGGGACCAGACCUCUGUACUCCUCCUGAAGUCUACUCCCUCCAUGACUGGCUGGGCAGCCUGCCACGCCACUCUCCCCUUUUCCCCACUGUAGAGUGGAGGCAGGGGUUGCCUGUGUCCCUUUGGGGGUUGGUCGCUGGUUUUCCAGAAGCAGGGUCCCCAGUCUGCCCCUCCUCCUCCCCAGGGUUGCAAGCUUCGACUCCCUCCCUUUGGCAAGACUCAAACCGUCCUCCCAGCUGCCCCAUCACCCCUUCCUGGCAGUAGCACCACUUUUCAUAACCUUUCCAGCCCAGGGGUCCCCAGGCUGGGAGGACAGCUGGGGGGAUGAAUGGCAGGUAAGGCUUCCUGUGUCUUCUCUCCUGUUGCAACUGUGCCACCUGCACACUUACACACUCAUGGACACACCAUGCACAUACACACAUCCACCCGCAUCUAGUCACGAUUCAUCACAUUCACACACAUAUACAAUCAUACCAUUUACACACAGUUAACUCAUGUACACACACAUAUACACCCAGUCACAUAAUUCACUCACAUCCAACAAAGUCACACAACUCAAAUUCACACAUAUAGACCAAAUCCCCACACACGUACACACACACACACAAUCACAGCAUUCACUGACAUUCAUAGUCAUCACACAGUUCACUCACACACACACAUACUCCCCGUCACACACAGGCACACAAUUCACACCAACAAAAUCACAAUUCACUUAUCCACCCACAUACUCAAAUUCACACUGCUCACAUUUACACACAAUUCACUAAAAUUCACGUAUACACCCAUGUACACAGUUCACUCACAUCACACACAUAUACACCCACACAUAAACACACAAUUCACUCACACACAGUUCACUGACAUUCGCACACAUACACACGCACCACACAGGCAAUUCAGUCACAUGGCCAAAAGCCAGUCCUCACCUUGCUAGUUCCCUUCCCAGUGUCACCUCCGCCUUUGGCCCUCAGCGUCCCCUUCCCAUGCCUGGACUGCUGGAGAGCCCUGAACACACCCCAUCUUCAUGCCUCCAGCACUAGCCCAAGCCCUUCCCUCUGCCAAGAGCACUAAGUGCAACUCAA
rnacentral:lncRNA from 1 species